GUCGAGCGAGGGGCGGGGGAGGAGCGGCCGGGCGGAAGCCAUGUUGGAGACUCACCGCGAGCGAGGGGCUGCGGGCGCGCUCCUCUCCUUGUGGGUGUGACCCGGGCUCCGCACGGCGGCGGGGGGCGGGGACGUUGGGUCGCUUGUCGUGGUCUGCGUCGGCCGCAGCGCGGAGCCGGGCGAUUGUGACCUGCGGCGCCGGCGGGCCGCGGACGCUCCUCCGUGCGGCCCUGAGCGCCCCCCCUCCCCGGGCCGGGAGGGAGGCGGGGGGCACCCGGGGCCCGCCAUGAACCCGGGCUUCGACCUGUCCCGCCGGAACCCGCAGGAGGACUUCGAGCUGAUCCAGCGCAUCGGCAGCGGCACCUACGGCGACGUCUACAAGGCACGGAAUGUUAACACUGGUGAAUUAGCAGCGAUUAAAGUAAUAAAAUUGGAACCAGGUGAAGACUUUGCAGUUGUGCAGCAAGAAAUCAUUAUGAUGAAAGACUGUAAACACCCAAAUAUUGUUGCUUAUUUUGGAAGCUAUCUAAGGCGAGAUAAACUUUGGAUUUGCAUGGAAUUUUGUGGUGGUGGCUCUUUACAGGAUAUAUAUCAUGUAACUGGACCUCUGUCAGAACCACAGAUUGCCUAUGUUAGCAGAGAAACACUACAGGGAUUAUAUUACCUUCACAGUAAAGGAAAAAUGCACAGAGAUAUAAAGGGAGCUAACAUUCUAUUAACGGACAAUGGUCAUGUGAAAUUAGCUGAUUUUGGAGUUUCUGCACAGAUAACAGCUACAAUUGCCAAACGGAAGUCUUUCAUUGGUACCCCAUACUGGAUGGCCCCAGAAGUGGCAGCUGUUGAGAGGAAAGGAGGAUAUAACCAGCUGUGUGACCUCUGGGCAGUGGGGAUCACUGCCAUAGAACUUGCGGAGCUCCAACCACCCAUGUUUGACCUUCAUCCGAUGAGAGCAUUAUUUCUAAUGACAAAAAGCAAUUUUCAACCUCCAAAACUAAAAGAUAAAAUGAAGUGGUCAAAUAGUUUCCAUCAUUUUGUGAAAAUGGCACUUACCAAAAAUCCGAAAAAAAGACCUACUGCAGAAAAGUUACUACAGCACCCUUUUGUUACACAGCCUUUGACGAGGUCUUUGGCAAUAGAGUUGCUAGAUAAAGUGAAUAAUCCAGAUCAUUCCACAUACCACGAUUUUGAUGAUGAUGACCCUGAGCCACUUGUUGCUGUACCACAUAGAAUUCAUUCAACAAGUAGAAAUGUGAGAGAAGAAAAAACCCGCUCAGAGAUAAACUUUGGCCAAGUAAAAUUUGAUCCACCCUUGAGAAAGGAGACAGAACCACAUCAUGAACUUCCCGACAGUGAUGGUUUUUUCGACAGUUCAGAAGAAAUAUACUACACUGCAAGAUCUAAUCUGGAUCUACAAUUAGAAUAUGGACAAGGACACCAAAGUAGUUACUUUUUAGGUGGAAACAAGAGUCUUCUAAAGUCUGUUGAAGAAGAAUUACAUCAGCGAGGACAUGUGGCACAUUUAGAAGAUGAUGAGGGGGAUGAUGAUGAAUCUAAACAUUCAACCAUGAAAGCUAAAGUCCCGCCACCCUUGCCGCCAAAGCCUAAGUCUAUCUUCAUACCCCAGGAGACUCAUUCUUCUGAGGAUGGUAAUCAAGGAACAGUCAAGCGAUGUCCCUCAUCAGGGAGCCCAGCAAAGCCAUCCCAAGUCCCACCUAGACCUCCUCCUCCCAGAUUACCCCCACAGAAGCCUGCUGCUUUAGGAAAUGGAGUGGGCUCCUUCCAGCUCAAUGGUGAGCGAGAUGGAUCACUGUAUCAGCAACAGAGUGAACAUAGGGGCACGAACCUGUCAAGAAAAGAGAAGAAAGAUGUACCAAAGCCCAUUAGUAAUGGUCUUCCCCCAACACCUAAAGUGCAUAUGGGAGCAUGUUUUUCAAAAGUUUUUAAUGGGUGUCCCUUGAAAAUUCACUGUGCAACAUCAUGGAUAAACCCAGACACAAGAGAUCAGUACUUGAUAUUUGGUGCCGAAGAGGGGAUUUAUACCCUUAAUCUUAAUGAACUUCAUGAAACAUCAAUGGAACAGCUAUUCCCUCGAAGGUGUACAUGGUUAUAUGUAAUGAACAAUUGCUUACUAUCAAUAUCUGGUAAAGCUUCUCAGCUUUAUUCCCAUAAUUUACCAGGGCUUUUUGAUUAUGCACGACAAAUGCAGAAGUUACCUGUAGCUAUUCCAGCACACAAGCUCCCUGAUAGAAUACUGCCAAGGAAAUUUGCUGUAUCAGCAAAAAUCCCUGACACCAAGUGGUGUCAGAAGUGUUGUGUUGUGAGAAAUCCUUACACAGGCCAUAAAUACCUAUGUGGGGCACUUCAGACUAGCAUUGUUCUGUUAGAAUGGGUUGAACCAAUGCAAAAAUUUAUGUUAAUUAAGCACAUAGACUUUCCCAUACCAUGUCCACUUAGGAUGUUUGAGAUGUUGGUGGUCCCUGAGCAGGAGUACCCUUUGGUCUGUGUUGGGGUCAGUAGAGGGCGAGACUUCAACCAGGUGGUUCGAUUUGAGACUGUCAAUCCAAAUUCUACCUCGUCGUGGUUUACAGAAUCAGAGCCAAAUGUGGUGGCACACACCUGUAAUCCCAGCACUUCGGAGGUGGAGGCAGGAGGAUCAGGAGUUCAAGGACAAUCUCAGCUACAUAAUACCCCACAGACAAACGUCACUCAUGUAAGCCAACUAGAGAGAGAUACCAUCCUUGUAUGCUUGGACUGUUGUAUAAAAAUAGUCAAUCUCCAAGGAAGAUUGAAAUCCAGCAGGAAAUUAUCAUCAGAACUCACGUUUGAUUUCCAGAUUGAAUCAAUAGUAAUUGAGCUGUUCUUGCCUGCUAGUUUGUCUACAAGACAGUGUGCUAGCUUUCUGGAAACAUGGAAUGCAAGGUAGAAGUUUUAGAUCUAAUGAGGUAACACAAGAAAUUUCAGAUAGCACAAGAAUUUUCAGGCUCCUUGGAUCUGACAGGGUCGUGGUUUUGGAAAGUAGGCCAACUGAUAACCCAACAGCAAAUAGCAAUUUAUACAUCUUGGCGGGUCAUGAAAACAGUUACUGAGAUGUGGCAUGCAUGGCAGGCACCUGCAGAGAAGACACGUGGCUUCAGCCUUACUGGAUGGAUGCUCCAGCCGUGCAGAGCUGUGCAGAGCUGUGAUAGCCGCUUUCGCUCCUUGUAAUUUAUUGUGGCAUGAGACAAGAUGGGGGGAAUUUCUGUUUUAAGUAGUAUGGAUAUAUUUAGCAUAUUGAACCACACAAGUGCUUAAUUCAUUGUUCUGUAAUCUUUGUACAUAUAAGCAGUAUUUUUCUGUGAAACUUCAUAUUGCUGAAGGCAUACACUAAGAAUCGAUGUAGAUAAUGUACUUUUAUGAGAUGUAAAAGUAAGUGUCUUAUCUGUACAGAUGUAAAUGUUGAUUAAAAUGCAACUGGGGUUAAUAUUUUAAGAAUUCUUUAGUAUAUUCUUGGGUGUGGUUAUAUUACAAAAUGGGAUGCUGGCAAUGAAACAAGACAUUUAACACUAUUGUAUUUUUAUUAUAUAUAAUUUAGUAAUAUGAAUAUAAAUCUUGUAACUUUUAAAAUUGUAAUGGAAGCUGUAAUCAUUUUAUAAUCUUGUUUUUAAUUUUAAUGCAAGUACACUGGUGUUUAUAUUUGCACAGAGUAUUGAUAUGUGAUGUAUUAAGUCACAAAGUAAGCUGUGACAUUGUGAAUAUGCAUUUGGCUCCACAACAUCUUUUUAAAAUGUAUUUGGAUUGUUUUCUAUGUGAGACAAACCAAUUUACCACCUGUUGUAGUAUCUGACCUUUUUAUAUUUAAGCAAAAUCCUGUAAGCUUGCUUGUCUGUGCUUAGAAUACACCUUUGGAAAAAAACUGAAAUCACAGAGUGGUCUUACCGUGAUAAAACGCUGCAGUUGUCUGGGUUACAGUGUGCACAAAGAAUACACUAGCAUUGUUAGAGUCACACUAGACAUUUCACAUAAUCACACUGAAGAACUGUAACAUUCCAGAGUGAAGUGAUUCAAAUUUCUAGUGGAAUUUUUACUUUUGUUGACCUUAUUUUAUGAUCACUUUCAUAUUUCUUUUAAUGUAGAGCAUUAACACAUGGCCAAAAUAAUUUAGUUACUACCUCAUACAAACAUUGUAAUGGUUACUACACACAUCACGGGAACUUAGUUUGGUUAAAAUCCUUUUUGAUUGGUUUUUUCCAGUGGACUAGAUAUAUCUAUAUAUAAAUAUAGGUAUAUAUGAGGUUGUAGCAGAGCUUACACCUCUGGCUCUUUUGGUAUAUGUUCUUUAUAUUUUGAUGUAUGUAUACACUAAGAACAAACUAAAUUGUGAUUUAUGCUCUUCAUUUAUUUUAAUUGAUAAUGGUUUUAAAUAUGUUCCUGAUUGUACAUAGUGUAAAAUAAACAUGUUUUUUAACA